rnacentral:rRNA from 1 species
CCUACGGGAGGCAGCAGUGAGGAAUAUUGGUCAAUGGGCGGAAGCCUGAACCAGCCAAGUAGCGUGCGGGAUGAAGGCCCUACGGGUCGUAAACCGCUUUUGCACGGGGAUAACACCCUCCACUUGUGGACGUCUGCAGGUACCGUGCGAAUAAGGGCCGGCUAAUUCCGUGCCAGCCACCGGGGUAAUACGGAAGGCCCGAGCGUUAUCCGGAUUCCUUGGGAUUAAAGGGAGCGUAGGCGGGCGUUCAAGUCAGCGGUAAAAUUGCCCGGCUCAACCGCGCCCCGCAGUUGAAACUGGGCGCCUUGAGUGCACAACAGGCAGGCGGAAUUCGUGGUGUAGCGGUGAAAUGCAUAGAUAUCACGAGGAACCCCGAUUGCGAAGGCAGCCUGCCGGGGCGCGACUGACGCUGAGGCUCGAAGGUGCGGGUAUCAAACAGGAUUAGAUACCCGGGUAGUC